rnacentral:rRNA from 1 species
AGGGAAUCUUCGGCAAUGGGGGCAACCCUGACCGAGCAACGCCGCGUGAGUGAAGAAGGUUUUCGGAUCGUAAAGCUCUGUUGUAAGUCAAGAACGGUGUGAGAGUGGAAAGUUCACACUGUGACGGUAGCUUACCAGAAAGGGACGGCUAACUACGUGCCAGCAGCCGCGGUAAUACGUAGGUCCCCGAGCGUUGUCCGGAUUUA